rnacentral:rRNA from 1 species
GACGAACGCUGGCGGCGUGCCUAAUACAUGCAAGUCGAGCGAAGUUUUUCUGGUGCUUGCACUAGAAAAACUUAGCGGCGAACGGGUGAGUAACACGUAAAGAACCUGCCUCAUAGACUGGGACAACUAUUGGAAACGAUAGCUAAUACCGGAUAACAGCAUUAACUGCAUGGUUGAUGUUUAAAAGUUGGUUUUGCUAACACUAUGAGAUGGCUUUGCGGUGCAUUAGCUAGUUGGUGGGGUAAAGGCCUACCAAGGCGACGAUGCAUAGCCGACCUGAGAGGGUGAUCGGCCACGCUGGGACUGAGACACGGCCCAGACUCCUACGGGAGGCAGCAGUAGGGAAUCUUCCGCAAUGGGCGAAAGCCUGACGGAGCAACGCCGCGUGAGUGAAGAAGGAUUUCGGUUCGUAAAGCUCUGUUGUUAGGGAAGAAUGAUUGUGUAGUAACUAUACACAGUAGAGACGGUACCUAACCAGAAAGCCACGGCUAACUACGUG